UGGGGAAUAUUGCACAAUGGGCGAAAGCCUGAUGCAGCGACGCCGCGUGAGGGCAUGACGGCCUUCGGGUUGUAAACCUCUUUCAGCAGGGACGAAGCGCAAGUGACGGUACCUGCAGAAGAAGCACCGGCUAACUACGUGCCAGCAGCCGCGGUAAUACGUAGGGUGCAAGCGUUGUCCGGAAUUACUGGGCGUAAAGAGUUCGUAGGCGGUUUGUCGCGUCGUUUGUGAAAACCAGCAGCUCAACUGCUGGCUUGCAGGCGAUACGGGCAGACUUGAGUACUGCAGGGGAGACUGGAAUUCCUGGUGUAGCGGUGAAAUGCGCAGAUAUCAGGAGGAACACCGGUGGCGAAGGCGGGUCUCUGGGCAGUAACUGACGCUGAGGAACGAAAGCGUGGGUAGCGAACAGGAUUAGAUACCCUGGUAGUCCACGCCGUAAACCGGUGGGCGCUAGGUGUGGUUCCUUCCACGGAAUCCGUGCCGUAGCUAACGCAUUAAGCGCCCCGCCUGGGGAGUACGGCCGCAAGGCU
rnacentral:rRNA from 1 species